rnacentral:lncRNA from 1 species
AUAGAAUUUAUGUAAUAUACAUAAAUUUGGUUAUUCUAGUGGAAAGUUUUAAUCUCGGCCGUUGCAGUGCUUUCCUUUAUAAAUUCAUAUGUAGUCGAUAAGAUGUAUAGUGGUGACGUCAAUUUGACGUUAGCGUUCUUUUUAACUUUGAGCUGCAAGUGAACAGACGUGUAUAAUUACAGAGAGAAGUAUUUUGAAAAUACCCACCCUCCCUCCACUAUAUAUAGUUAAACCAUGUAGUUUUGUUUGGGUACUGCUCUUUUGUUCUUUUUAUUUUCAGGUACAUGUAUAUACGAGUAGUUAGAGUUCCAGUAUGAAAAAUUCUUCUCCAUUGAUGAUUUGCCAUGUGAUGUCAAAAAUUGCAGUAGUCAGUUAGAUGUUGGUUGUAUAGAAACAUUUGAUCGUUAAAAAGUGAAAAAUGUGUUUGGCAACUUCGCUGCGUGUGAUAGGCAACUUCGCUGCGUGUGAUAAACUACAGUUACAGUUGUCUAUAUUUUAGUGAUAUUAAAAGUACAUUUUGUGGAUCGCUGUAU